rnacentral:rRNA from 1 species
UUAAGCGACUAAGCGUACACGGUGGAUGCCCUGGCAGUCAGAGGCGAUGAAGGACGUGCUAAUCUGCGAUAAGCGUCGGUAAGGUGAUAUGAACCGUUAUAACCGGCGAUUUCCGAAUGGGGAAACCCAGUGUGAUUCGUCACACUAUCAUUAACUGAAUCCAUAGGUUAAUGAGGCGAACCGGGGGAACUGAAACAUCUAAGUACCCCGAGGAAAAGAAAUCAACCGAGAUUCCCCCAGUAGCGGCGAGCGAACGGGGAGCAGCCCAGAGCCUGAAUCAGUGUGUGUGUUAGUGGAAGCGUCUGGAAAGGCGCGCGAUACAGGGUGACAGCCCCGUACACAAAAAUGCACAUGCUGUGAGCUCGAUGAGUAGGGCGGGACACGUGGUAUCCUGUCUGAAUAUGGGGGGACCAUCCUCCAAGGCUAAAUACUCCUGACUGACCGAUAGUGAACCAGUACCGUGAGGGAAAGGCGAAAAGAACCCCGGCGAGGGGAGUGAAAAAGAACCUGAAACCGUGUACGUACAAGCAGUGGGAGCACGCUUAGGCGUGUGACUGCGUACCUUUUGUAUAAUGGGUCAGCGACUUAUAUUCUGUAGCAAGGUUAACCGAAUAGGGGAGCCGAAGGGAAACCGAGUCUUAACUGGGCGUUAAGUUGCAGGGUAUAGACCCGAAACCCGGUGAUCUAGCCAUGGGCAGGUUGAAGGUUGGGUAACACUAACUGGAGGACCGAACCGACUAAUGUUGAAAAAUUAGCGGAUGACUUGUGGCUGGGGGUGAAAGGCCAAUCAAACCGGGAGAUAGCUGGUUCUCCCCGAAAGCUAUUUAGGUAGCGCCUCGUGAAUUCAUCUCCGGGGGUAGAGCACUGUUUCGGCAAGGGGGUCAUCCCGACUUACCAACCCGAUGCAAACUGCGAAUACCGGAGAAUGUUAUCACGGGAGACACACGGCGGGUGCUAACGUCCGUCGUGAAGAGGGAAACAACCCAGACCGCCAGCUAAGGUCCCAAAGUCAUGGUUAAGUGGGAAACGAUGUGGGAAGGCCCAGACAGCCAGGAUGUUGGCUUAGAAGCAGCCAUCAUUUAAAGAAAGCGUAAUAGCUCACUGGUCGAGUCGGCCUGCGCGGAAGAUGUAACGGGGCUAAACCAUGCACCGAAGCUGCGGCAGCGACGCUGAUGCGUUGUUGGGUAGGGGAGCGUUCUGUAAGCCUGCGAAGGUGUGCUGUGAGGCAUGCUGGAGGUAUCAGAAGUGCGAAUGCUGACAUAAGUAACGAUAAAGCGGGUGAAAAGCCCGCUCGCCGGAAGACCAAGGGUUCCUGUCCAACGUUAAUCGGGGCAGGGUGAGUCGACCCCUAAGGCGAGGCCGAAAGGCGUAGUCGAUGGGAAACAGGUUAAUAUUCCUGUACUUGGUGUUACUGCGAAGGGGGGACGGAGAAGGCUAUGUUGGCCGGGCGACGGUUGUCCCGGUUUAAGCGUGUAGGCUGGUUUUCCAGGCAAAUCCGGAAAAUCAAGGCUGAGGCGUGAUGACGAGGCACUACGGUGCUGAAGCAACAAAUGCCCUGCUUCCAGGAAAAGCCUCUAAGCAUCAGGUAACAUCAAAUCGUACCCCAAACCGACACAGGUGGUCAGGUAGAGAAUACCAAGGCGCUUGAGAGAACUCGGGUGAAGGAACUAGGCAAAAUGGUGCCGUAACUUCGGGAGAAGGCACGCUGAUACGUAGGUGAAGUCCCUCGCGGAUGGAGCUGAAAUCAGUCGAAGAUACCAGCUGGCUGCAACUGUUUAUUAAAAACACAGCACUGUGCAAACACGAAAGUGGACGUAUACGGUGUGACGCCUGCCCGGUGCCGGAAGGUUAAUUGAUGGGGUUAGCGCAAGCGAAGCUCUUGAUCGAAGCCCCGGUAAACGGCGGCCGUAACUAUAACGGUCCUAAGGUAGCGAAAUUCCUUGUCGGGUAAGUUCCGACCUGCACGAAUGGCGUAAUGAUGGCCAGGCUGUCUCCACCCGAGACUCAGUGAAAUUGAACUCGCUGUGAAGAUGCAGUGUACCCG